GAUGGACCCGCGGUGCAUUAGCUAGUUGGUGAGGUAACGGCUCACCAAGGCAACGAUGCAUAGCCGACCUGAGAGGGUGAUCGGCCACAUUGGGACUGAGACACGGCCCAAACUCCUACGGGAGGCAGCAGUAGGGAAUCUUCGGCAAUGGACGAAAGUCUGACCGAGCAACGCCGCGUGAGUGAAGAAGGUUUUCGGAUCGUAAAACUCUGUUGUUAGAGAAGAACAAGGAUGAGAGUAAAAUGUUCAUCCCUUGACGGUAUCCAACCAGAAAGCCACGGCUAACUACGUGCCAGCAGCCGCGGUAAUACGUAGGUGGCAAGCGUUGUCCGGAUUUAUUGGGCGUAAAGCGAGCGCAGGCGGUUUCUUAAGUCUGAUGUGAAAGCCCCCGGCUCAACCGGGGAGGGUCAUUGGAAACUGGGAAACUUGAGUGCAGAAGAGGAGAGUGGAAUUCCAUGUGUAGCGGUGAAAUGCGUAGAUAUAUGGAGGAACACCAGUGGCGAAGGCGGCUCUCUGGUCUGUAACUGACGCUGAGGCUCGAAAGCGUGGGGAGCAAACA
rnacentral:rRNA from 1 species